rnacentral:rRNA from 1 species
AUUGAACGCUGGCGGCAGGCCUAACACAUGCAAGUCGAGCGAGCGGCGGACGGGUGAGUAAUGUCUGGGAAACUGCCUGAUGGAGGGGGAUAACUACGGGAAACGGUAGCUAAUACCGCAUACCAUCAGAUGUGGCCAGAUGGGAUUAGCUAGUAGGGGGGGUAAAGGCUCACCUAGGCGACGAUCCCUAGCUGGUCUGAGAGGAUGACCAGCCACACUGGAACUGAGACACGGCCCAGACUCCUACGGGAGGCAGCAGUGGGGAAUAUUGCACAAUGGGCGCAAGCCUGAUGCAGCCAUGCCGCGUGUAUGAAGAAGGCCUUCGGGUCGUAAAGUACUUUCAGCGGGGAGGCGUUACCCGCAGAAGAAGCACCGGCUAACUCCGUGCCAGCAGCCGCGGUAAUAC